UGUGUGUGUGUGUGCGCGCGCGCGUCUGUGUGUAGCCUAUAGUACACAAAAUAAUCAAUUAUUAUAAUUAUACACAUUAACGUAAUAACAUUAAUAAUGAUAUUAUGCACACAGGCAUUUACGCUUGCGUUGCUUGCUGCCCGUUUCCAUGGCAAUGGUGAAGCUCAGACUUUGGCGCACUUUUGGAUUUUGAACCGUGACGUCAAGCCGUUCUCAACCGCCAACCGCGAACUAGACAGUUUGUAAAAUGUUGCGUUUCUGAUUAUUUUCUUUUUUCGAAGAAAACGCAGUCGAAACAGGUCUAUCGAGUUACACUGAAGACACGCACAUUCACGACGAAACAUUAAUUAAGGAAGAAUGGUAUUUCUCCGAGGAAGUAAUCGUCAGCUGGCCCGCUGCGAGAAACCAGACGUCUCAGUUCAUCCGUCUUUGCUGAGUCAGGCCUGGAUGAAAACCUGCUUAAAGAGAGAGUGCAAGCCUGGUGCUGAUGUACCCGGUAAGCUAAAUGAAGAAUUGUAAAACCGAAAAAGCUCAGAUGAUGCUGAAAAGACUGUCAGCUCAGCCUCAGUAAGUAUGCUCUUUUUGACAAUCUUUUAUAUAAAAAAAGAAAAACAGAAACAAAGACUGGACAGCAUUUAAUGCAGCAACUAAUUAAACAUAAGUCCACAAGAAAACAGGUGAAAAAUAGUAGGCUAAAUACUAAAACUGUCAAUUCCAGUUUUUCAAAACACAAUACCACAAAAGACAAUGAAUGUUUAUGCUGCUUAUGUAUCUUUUCAAGACCCCUGUAAAUGAAUCAGAUCAAGAAAUGCAAAGAAGAAUAGAAGGGCUACAGGAAGAAAACAGCGGCUCAGAGAGGAACUUGAAAACUAGAUUCCUGGAUUCUCAAUGAGCUGAGAAGGCUAAGGACAGAGGCACGACCUCAAACUGAAAGUGAGAAAAAGUGAGCUGUGCUUUCCCUAUUCUCAGCCUCAGACGUCACGCCCACGGACCGUUGGCUAAACAUCUGAUACAUAUGACACACAAAAGUGGAAACACUUCAAGAGUUUCAAUGUCGUCAUCGGACUGAUUGAAUUAUACAGGAUUUCCGGGAGACGUGCGUGUUGCAUUCUUUAACGUUCCACCUGGAAACAAAUAUGCCGUGACGCCGAAUUCCUCACGAAAGAAGAAAGCCGUCAUGUUUACAACUGUGAUGACGAGCGCUUAUCAGGAUCAACUAACCGCUGGAUUUUUAAAAGUAUGUGAAAUAUUUAAAGUUCAUGGCAUAGAAUCUGUAAAAUACGUCCGAGAGUUUUACACACCGGUCUGUUAUUGUGGUGAAUAAUGAUGAAACAUGAUGCUGAACGAAAUGAACUGUGAUUGGUUGUUUGACAUGUCGGUCAAACGGCCUCA